CUUACAAUCUGGGCCAUGAACAUGGAUGACCUAUAGCCUGUUUCCUGUCUCUGAAUCCUAACUUUUGCCUUCUACUUGUGCUUCUGAACAAGCGGACUACAUUUUCUCAGAAACUAUGGAUGGAAAAAAUUUUGGGGAAAGGAAUUUUAUCACUGCACUGUAGAAACUGGAGAGAUCUUACCUGGCCUCAUUUAGAGGGGCAUAUAGAGAUAAGACCCUGACUGUUUAAGUUGCUUUGAAGAAUUCUAAGAAGUGAGGCACAAAGGCCUGCUUUAAAAUAGAUGGCUACUGACUGGAUAGUUCUUGCAAUAAAAGUUGACAAGAGAAUGAAA